GGAAGGAGCAGGAAGAGAUGCCUGUACGUGACUCUCGUGGACAUCUCUCAAGAUGAGAACAGUUGAGCAAGGUCAGCAGCAGAGUCAGAACUCUUCCCCCAUCACCACAGUGGUCCUCAAGCUGGAGCCAGACAUCCAGUGAGUAAAUGGGGAGUCCCCAAGGCUGGUCCAGGUCCUCAAGAGUUCUGGCCCAGCUUCGGCUCAUUAUUGCUUCUUCCUCCCAGCCCAGGUGACCCAGCUUGGAUCAUGUGCUUAGGGCCAUGUUGAGCCAACAACUGAGCCUGAGGAUUACCUUCCCAAGUCUCAGUCCCUUCCUCACCAGUCGGGACACUUGUCAUGCCUGCGAGAUGUCAGACCUGCCUUCCUUCCUCAUUUCCUCCACAACCCACAAGAACACAGCCAGGACCCCUAGGCUUCUCCACUUCAGGACCACUACACACUAUUCACACCAUCCUUCAGGACCACUACACACUAUUCACACCAUCCUUCAGGACCACUACACACUAUUCACACUGUACGUCAGGACCACUACACACUAUUCACACCAUCCUUCAGGACCACUACACACUAUUCACAUUGUACUUCAGGACCACUACACACUAUUCAUACCAUCCUUCAGGACCACUACACACUAUUCACAUUGUACUUCAGGACCACUACACACUAUUCACACCAUCCUUCAGGACCACUACACACUAUUCACACUGUACUUCAGAUCCACUAUACACUAUUCACACCAUCCUUCAGGACCACUACACACUAUUCACACUAUCCUUCAGGACCACUAUACACUAUUCACACUGUACUUCAGGACCACUACACACUAUUCACACCAUCCUUCAGGACUACUACACACUAUUCACACCAUCCUUCAGGAUCACUAUAUGUGGCCUGUUGUACCAUGUGAUCUCGAUCUCACUGCAUGGCUAGGAGAACCUCCGCGCACUUCUCUCAUCUGUGCUUUCUCAGCUAGAGAGGUCUCAGAAGAUACUGUGAGCAAAACCUCCUCAGUAUGCCCUAGAAAGUCUAUAGUGGCACUACCUCCCAUCCUACAGCUGAGAAAACUGAGGUUUGGAUCAUGGUCUAGUCA
rnacentral:lncRNA from 1 species